CGAACGGCCGUCACGGAACCUCGCCUACGCCCGCCUAGCGCCACGACCGUGCUUUCCGUUCGUGGUACCCUUCACCGCUUUGCAACGCUCGCGACACCCGCCCGUUUGCGCGCCCUCGUUCAACCGAACCACCGAAGUCGAGCCGCGCACAACCUCCCGCAAUCCUACCACCGCCAACUACCCAAUAGUCCCCACUACACCCUUCACCCUCUCCUUGUAUCCCCCACCUUCUCACCCUCCUCGUCACGCACUCCCCCCUUCCCUCGUUCCGCGACACCCUCUACUCCCUCGCGCCAUCCUGCGCGUUUCGUCCUUCUCGUUUCCCCUCUCUUGCACUCGUACUACUGUACUGUUUCUCUCUCUCUCUCUCUCUCUCUCUCUCUCUCUCUCUCUCUGUUUUCCUCACUAGCGACUCCUCACUCACUCACUCAUUCACUCACUCUCUUUUUCCCUCGCACGCGCGGUCACUCGUUCUCUUUAUCUUUCUCACGCUCACCAGCUCUCCCACUCUUUCCUUACCCCGCAAGGAACGAAUUGCCAGACUUCUCUCUCUUUCUUCCUAACCAUCGUUUUCUCUUUUUAUCUCCUUGGAAACCUACACAGACGCAUUCUCUCUCGAUUCGUCUUCCUCUUUCUUGCUCCUCACCCUCGAUCACCCUCCAAAAAGGGCACUUAUUUUCGCCCCUUUGUUCUCACGGUUGUGACCAACUUCUCCUUCUCUCUACCUUUCCUUAAACCUGCCACCUCCCCUUGCCUAUACGCCCUCGUUCUUCGGGCUUCUUUCUCGAACACACCCUCUCCCUCUCUACCUCCUAGCUACUUCUUACGUCGUGUUACUGCGCACUCGUUCUGGCAAAGUCGCCACGAGCUCUGUGCAACUAUUCGCAAAGUUGUUACCCAUUGACGACGUUAUGUGCGGUACCAGCGGUUGCGACAGCCGCUUAUCGUUUCUCGUUAUUAUUUUGAUAAAGGAAAAUGCGGGUUAAAGGGGCACCGAGUUUUCUAUUCGAGUUUUUAAAAUGUCGAGCCUCGCGGGAACACAUUUUAAAACGGGCUCGCAACGUGAUAUCGCGUUCACCCUUUUUUAUUUUAUUUUCCCUACGCCUGUUGCCCUUUCUCCGUUUUGCCGUCAAAGUGAUUUUGCUGUUGAAGAAAAAGAAAAAAAGAAAAAAGAUCAAACUUGUACGGCGAGAGAAGGACAAAGAAGAAAAAACACUGCAAGGGUUGGGCAACAGAGGGAUUGGAAAGAAAUUCACGAGCGUGUUUCAAGAUGCCUGUGGAGGAGGUGCGCGUUCAAAGUUACACACGCAACCACGAUUUGCGUCUGCGCACAUUUUUCUGCACAGGCUCGCCAAGCAGCGGCGAAUGAUAGAACGAGACAACCGCUCUCCGCCACGAGGCUGUUUCUCAACUUCUGAGCUGCAAAUGCACAAGUACCAACCACAUUUGCGUAUCCUGGUAGUAGUUUGUCGCUGGUUUAGCUUCCGCUUCGUUCCUCGAGGCUUGUUGCGUAUCCGUGCGGCGAGAAUCGGUGCGUCGUCACGUUGCCAUGGAAAUAAACGCACGUUCGUCCGAUUUCCUCGUUGGAUUAACGUGUGUUGCUUGCGUGUCGUCACCGGAAUUGUUGCGCUAGGCUGACGGCACCUUGACACGUUUACCCCGACACGCGUAUUCUACACUAUUGCAAUAAUGUCGAAACGAUUUCAUUAUCGGCGGCUCUUAUUACGGCGGCGCUCACUAUCUAUUUAUCGAUACGAUCGAUUUGACGACGAAAAGAUCCGAGUCACCGAUUCGUUUCCCGCGCUUUUAACCUCGUACUCGUUUGAAACGU